rnacentral:rRNA from 1 species
AUUGAACGCUGGCGGCAGGCCUAACACAUGCAAGUCGAGCGGAUGAAGAGAGCUUGCUCUCUGAUUUAGCGGCGGACGGGUGAGUAAUGCCUAGGAAUCUGCCUGGUAGUGGGGGAUAACGUUCCGAAAGGAACGCUAAUACCGCGUACGUCCUACGGGAGAAAGCAGGGGACCUUCGGGCCUUGCGCUAUCAGAUGAGCCUAGGUCGGAUUAGCUAGUUGGUGAGGUAAUGGCUCACCAAGGCGACGAUCCGUAACUGGUCUGAGAGGAUGAUCAGUCACACUGGAACUGAGACACGGUCCAGACUCCUACGGGAGGCAGCAGUGGGGAAUAUAGGACAAUGGGCGAAAGCCUGAUCCAGCCAUGCCGCGUGUGUGAAGAAGGUCUUCGGAUUGUAAAGCACUUUAAGUUGGGAGGAAGGGCAGUAAGUUAAUACCUUGCUGUUUUGACGUUACCGACAGAAUAAGCACCGGCUAACUUCGUGCCAGCAGCCGCAGUAACAC